AUGAACCCUACCUCGGCGCCGGGUCCAGACGGCCUCUCAGUUAAAUUCUUCCAGACCUUCUGGAAUGCGAUUAAACUGGAGGUCAUGGCCAUCUUUGACGAGUUCUACGUUGGCUCCAUCGACCUCGGACGCCUCAACUUUGGGAUCAUCUCUCUCAUUCCUAAGGUGGUUGGCGCUUCCAACAUCCGCCAGUUUCGCCCGAUCACGGUCAUUAACGUGAUUUUACGGAUUCUAGCAAAAGGGUACGCCAAUAGGGUGACCCGUCUUGCUGGCCGCAUUACCCACCCCAACCAGUCCGCCUUCAAUUAA
rnacentral:rRNA from 1 species